UGAAAGGCGCUUUCGGGUGUCGCUGAUGGAUGGACCCGCGGUGCAUUACCCACUUGGUGAGGUAACGGCUCACCAAGGCCACGAUGCAGAGCCGACCUGAGAGGGUGAUCGGCCCCACUGGGACUGAGACACGGCCCAUACUCCUACGGGAGGCUGCAGUGGGGAAUCUUCGGCGAUGGACAAAAGUCUGACCGAGCAACGCCUCGUGGUUGAAGAACGUUUUCGGAUCGUAAAACUCUGUUAUUAGAGAGCAACAAGGGCUUUAUUAACUGAACAUCCCCUGACGGUUUCUAACCAUAAUGCCACGACUUACUUAGUUCCACAGUCGCGGUAAUACCAAGGUAGCAAGCAUAGUCCGGAUUCAUUGGGCGUAAAGCGAAUUCUUGCUUUUUCUUAAGUCUGUUGCGAAAGCCCCCGCCUCCGCGUUGGUGUGUCAUUGUAAACGGGUAGACUUGAGUGCAAAACAUGAGAGUGUAAUUCCUCGUGUAGUGAGGUAAUGCAUACAUAUAUGGAGGAACACCUGUGGCGAACGCGGCUCUCUGGUCUGUUACUGACGCUGAAGCUCGAUAGCGUGUGGAGCAAACAUGAUUAUCUACCCUGUUAGUCCACGCCGUAACGAUGAGUAGCUAGGUGUUGGACGGUUACGUCCCUUCAGUGCUGCAGCAAACGCAUUAAGCACUCCGACUGGGGAAUACUACCGCAAGGGUUGAAAUUCAAAGGAUUGGCGGGGGCCCCCACUAAGUGUGGAGAAUGC
rnacentral:rRNA from 1 species